UGUCUCUAUGUACUAUUUAAUCUAUAUACAGUAUUACAGGUAAUACACAACAACAGUACCACCAGCAAUUUUUCUUUGUUGAAUUACAUUCUGAACGUUGAACAUUAUUGCAUUUCUGUAUUGGAUAUUGAUUUGUUCUAUUUGUUCUAUAUAUAUUAUAUGAUAUAAUAUAUUUACUAUUCCUAUUGUACUUGCUGUUUUCGUCAUGUUUAUGUUUAUCACUUCACGUUGACAACAUUGACCUUGUCAUUACUGCCUAUUGAAUUUCAGAGAGAGUGAGAGAGAAAAAGCGAGAGAGAGAUGACCAGCAAGGUCAAAUAAUAAUCACAGUGGUUGUAGCCUGUGCAUCAGGUCAGUACCUCAGGAGUAUAUUUCAUUUGGGUUUUCAUAGCUGAGCAUUCAGAGGAUUAGACAACAGGUGUGGUAGAGAGAGAGAGAUACAGAGAGAGCGAGAGAGCGAGAGAGAGAGAGAUCAAUGUAACAUUGAUAGGUUUUGUCUACUACAUGAUUCUCAGGUUUUUCCAAUACACAUUAUGAGAUUGCUACAACCUACAACAACAUUAAAGUUUACAACGUAGAUUCACAGGUCGAGAUAGACAUUUUAGUAAUCAAGGUGACAGACAGUGAAACAUUCAAUACUGCCUUGCACCGUCUAGUCUGCAUCUUGUCACGAAUAUCACCGAAGGUGGUUCCCCUUCCCGUUCGGGCGGCGCUCGGUGGUCAUCGUCUCCGGUCUACUGGCUGCCACCGAUCCCUCUUUUCCCUUUUCGUUUGGUUUUGUCUAAUUGUUUUCACCUGUUCCUUGUUGGGGUUUUGGGGUUGGGGUUAUUUAAGUUUGGUUAGUCCGCCUGUGUUUGUACGGGCUUGUUACUGUUUAUGUUAGAGGUGUACUCUGAAUAUUGUUGGGUUUUCGCUGUCCUGUAUUACCAGUUGCACUUGGGUUUGGUAUGUUUCCCCAUUGUACGUGUUCCUGUUUUGGACAUUAAAGCGUUUUUCCCCAGAUACUUCUGCUCUCUGUGCCCCAGAUACUUCUGCUCUCUUUGCCUGACUCCACACCCAUCCUCUUCGAGCGUUACACAUCUAUACCUGAUCAGGGGUGUAAUCAUUAGUCCAACAGUUUCGUUCUGUUUGUUUCCGUUUAAGAAAAGAAUAGUUUGACUGAAUACACCCCUGAUCACAAGCAAACACUGUUCACGUUCAUAGCAGCCACAUACAAACAUCAUGAUCAUUUUCCAAUAUAAUUUACUCAUAAAGACCUUUUUACAUCAGCAGUUGUCCCAAAGUGCUAAUACAGAAACUCAGCCUUAAACCCCAAACAGCAAGCAAUGCAGACGUAGAAGCACGGCGUGCUAGGAAAAACUCCCUUGAAAGGUAGGAACCUAGGAAGAACCCUAGAGAGGAACCAGACUCUUAGGGGUGGCCAGUACUCUUCUGGCUAUGCCGCAUGGAGAUUAUAAGAGUACACAGCUAUUAAGGCCAGAUUGUUCUUCAAGAUGUUCAAACAUUCAUAGAUGACCAGCAGGGUCAAAUAAAAAUCAUAGUAGCAGAGGGUGCAACAGGUCAGUACCUCAGGAGUAAUUGUCAGUUGGGUUUUCAUAUCUGAGCAUUCAGAGAUGUAGACAACAGGUGUGUUAGAGAGAGAGAAAGAAAGAAAGAAAGAAAGAAAGAAAGAAAGAAAGAAAGAAAGUCGAAAACAGCAGGUCCAGGACAAGGUAGCACGUCCAGUGAACAGGUCAGGGGUCCACAGGCAGAACAGUUGUAUCUGGAGCAGCAGCACAACCAGGUGGACUGGGGACAGCCAGGAGUCAUCAGUGCCUAGCUCCACUCCUAUUCCCCAGGCGCUCUCUUUUGAUGACUUCUGUAACCGUAAUAGCCUUGGUUUCAUGCAUGUUAACAUUAGAAGCCUCCUCCCUAAGUUUGUUUUAUUCACUUCUUUAGCACACUCUGCCAACCCGGAUGUUCUAGCUGUGUCUGAAUCCUGGCUUAGGAAGACCACCAAAAAUUCAGAAAUUGUGUUUUAGCAAUUGAGAAAAACUGUAAUUCCACUUUGACAUUAUGGGGUAUUGUGUGUAGGCCAGUGACAACAAAUCUCAAUUUAAUCCAUUUACAAUUCAUGCUGUAACACAACAAAAUGUGGAAAGAGUCAAGGAUUGUGAUUUGUUUCUGAAGCCUGCGUGACUCCAGAGAAUGCUUUAAGCUUUUAUAUGUCAACUGUUGGUUGUCAGAGCGUUGUGAGUCUGCGUAGACCAAUCUUUGAAUGGCCUACGCAGUCACACACCUUCUGCAGGUAAAAUAUUUGUCUUAUUCAAAGAAUUCAAGACAGUAGUAGCUUCCUGGUAGCAAGUUGAUGUUAUUCAGGUUACUGUGGUUUUAUUGUUACAAUGAUCAACCAGUAAUGUUAGUUCUGCAACUUUCCAGAAAAUGAGAGACAGACAACUAUUGAGAUUACUUUUAUAUGUCUCUAUGUACUAUUUAAUCUAUAUACAGUAUUACAGGUAAUACACAACAACAGUACCACCAGCAAUUUUUCUUUGUUGAAUUACAUUCUGAACGUUGAACAUUAUUGCAUUUCUGUAUUGGAUAUUGAUUUGUUCUAUUUCUUCUAUAUAUAUUAUAUGAUAUAAUAUAUUUACUAUUCCUAUUGUACUUGCUGUUUUCGUCAUGUUUAUGUUUAUCACUUCACGUUGACAACAUUGACCUUGUCAUUACUGCCUAUUGAAUUUCAGAGAGAGUGAGAGAGAAAAAGCGAGAGAGAGAUGACCAGCAAGGUCAAAUAAUAAUCACAGUGGUUGUAGCCUGUGCAUCAGGUCAGUACCUCAGGAGUAUAUUUCAUUUGGGUUUUCAUAGCUGAGCAUUCAGAGGAUUAGACAACAGGUGUGGUAGAGAGAGAGAGAUACAGAGAGAGCGAGAGAGCGAGAGAGAGAGAGAUCAAUGUAACAUUGAUAGGUUUUGUCUACUACAUGAUUCUCAGGUUUUUCCAAUACACAUUAUGAGAUUGCUACAACCUACAACAACAUUAAAGUUUACAACGUAGAUUCACAGGUCGAGAUAGACAUUUUAGUAAUCAAGGUGACAGACAGUGAAACAUUCAAUACUGCCUUGCACCGUCUAGUCUGCAUCUUGUCACGAAUAUCACCGAAGGUGGUUCCCCUUCCCGUUCGGGCGGCGCUCGGUGGUCAUCGUCUCCGGUCUACUGGCUGCCACCGAUCCCUCUUUUCCCUUUUCGUUUGGUUUUGUCUAAUUGUUUUCACCUGUUCCUUGUUGGGGUUUUGGGGUUGGGGUUAUUUAAGUUUGGUUAGUCCGCCUGUGUUUGUACGGGCUUGUUACUGUUUAUGUUAGAGGUGUACUCUGAAUAUUGUUGGGUUUUCGCUGUCCUGUAUUACCAGUUGCACUUGGGUUUGGUAUGUUUCCCCAUUGUACGUGUUCCUGUUUUGGACAUUAAAGCGUUUUUCCCCAGAUACUUCUGCUCUCUGUGCCCCAGAUACUUCUGCUCUCUUUGCCUGACUCCACACCCAUCCUCUUCGAGCGUUACACAUCUAUACCUGAUCAGGGGUGUAAUCAUUAGUCCAACAGUUGCGUGCUGUUUCGUUCUGUUUGUUUCCGUUUAAGAAAAGAAUAGUUUGACUGAAUACAACCCUGAUCACAAGCAAACACUGUUCACGUUCAUAGCAGCCACAUACAAACAUCAUGAUCAUUUUCCAAUAUAAUUUACUCAUAAAGACCUUUUUACAUCAGCAGUUGUCCCAAAGUGCUAAUACAGAAACUCAGCCUUAAACCCCAAACAGCAAGCAAUGCAGACGUAGAAGCACGGCGUGCUAGGAAAAACUCCCUUGAAAGGUAGGAACCUAGGAAGAACCCUAGAGAGGAACCAGACUCUUAGGGGUGGCCAGUACUCUUCUGGCUAUGCCGCAUGGAGAUUAUAAGAGUACACAGCUAUUAAGGCCAGAUUGUUCUUCAAGAUGUUCAAACAUUCAUAGAUGACCAGCAGGGUCAAAUAAAAAUCAUAGUAGCAGAGGGUGCAACAGGUCAGUACCUCAGGAGUAAAUGUAAUUUGGGUUUUCAUAGCCAAACAUUCAGAGGUUUAGACAACAGGUGUGGUUGAAAGAGAGAGAGAGAGAAAGAAAAAAAGAAAGAAAGAAAGAAAGAAAGAAAGAGAGAGAGAAAGAGAGAGAGAGAUUUGAAUACAGCAGGUCCGGGACAAGCUAGCACGUCUGGUGAACAGGUCAGGGUUCCGUAGCCGCAGGCAGAACAGUUGAAACUGGAGCAGCAGCAGCACAACCAGGUGGACUGGGGACGGCCAGGAGUCAUCAGGUCAGGUAGUCCUGAGGCAUGGUCCUAGGGCUCUGGUCCUCCAGGAGGGGAGGGAAAGACAGAGAGAGAGUUAGAGGGAGCAUACUUAAAUUCACUCAGGACACCAGAUCCGUGCUCGUUGUAUAAUUUCACAAAAAAACAUAGUUGUCACCAUGCGUGACCCGUUUCAAGAAACUAGGAGUAUGUCGCACGUCACUUCACAGGAGAGGCAUUUGAUUUGAUUUGAUUUUUUUCACCAAUCUGCUCACCUGCAACCAAUCUCCAUUAGCCAUAAGCCACCACUGUGGGAAGCAUUGGAGUCAACAUGGGCCAGUAUCCCUGUGGAACGCUUUUGACACCUUGUAGAGUCCAUGGUCUCAUGAAUUGAGACUGUUCUGAGGGCAAAAGUGAGUGGUGCAACUCAAUAUUAGGUGUUCCUAAUGUUUGGUACACUCAGUUAGCACAUCAAUUAUGAAAAAUGGCAGACCUUUUCCUCUGAAAAAUGAAUUGUGACUAAAACUCAGUCAUUUCAUGAUUUAAAUGGUGCUGUCCAACUGCUAACACGAAUGUAGUUAAUCACAGGGGUACCCUGACUGGAACUCAAACCCUGGUACCUGGGACUGUCUUGCUCGUAAUGCUAUCAAUAACAAUGACAACAAUGAUAAUCCCACUUAUGAUGACAAAAACGUCAUUGUUAUCAAAACAUCAACAUAACAAACUAUUGUCUCCAGUCCAGACACAUCUUGAAUAAUAAGUCUGACUCAGAUUUUCUGAAUACAUGUGACAGUAAGUGACCAACUUCCCUGUUCUAUAAACAUCAUCAUCAGGUAAACAGUGGUGAACGCCACCCAGAAACACAGAAAGCCUAAUUAUCCAGUCCCAAAACCCCAGAGGCAUGUCCUCCAAAAGAAUCUCAGAACCACUGGCAUCCUGUUAAGCCAUUUAAAACAAACAAAAACAUUUUUAACCUUUAUUUAACUAGGCAAGUCAGUUAAGAACAAAUUCUUAUUUUCAAUGACAGCAUAGGAAC
ensembl:lncRNA